UACGGAGGGUGCAAGCGUUAAUCGGAAUUACUGGGCGUAAAGCGCACGCAGGUGGCUGAGUCAGUCGAUUGUGAAAGCCCUGGGCUUAACCUGGGAAUUGCAGUCGAUACUACUCAGCUAGAGUAUGGGAGAGGGCAGUGGAAUUCCCGGUGUAGCGGUGAAAUGCGCAGAUAUCAGGAGGAACACCGGUGGCGAAGGCGGGUCUCUGGGCCGAUACUGACGCUGAGACGCGAAAGCGUGGGGAGCGAACAGG
rnacentral:rRNA from 1 species